GGGCUGGGUAGGAAAUCUUAGACCGCAGGUACCCAGAUCCGCCCGAAUGAUUAUUGAGAAAUGACGUCGUCGUCAUUCAUUUGGGGGGUGGAAUAAUACCAGCUUCAAGCUUCAGAUCACAUUUCACUUCAUACACACACUCUCUCUCGUAACCCUAGCAGCCACAAUCUCCUCUCACCACCGCCAUCGUCUCAUCACUCUCCACCACCGCCAUCGUUUCAUCACUCUCCACCACCAUUGCUCACCAGUCACCACCAUCACUCACCACCACUGUUGCUCACUAGUCACCACCAUUCAUUCAUUUCUCUCUCUCUCUCUCUCUCUCUAUGAUGAAACAAACUCUAUUCGUCUCUCAUGCUCACCAAACCCCUAAGCCUUCCCUUCGCUGUUUCUCUUCUCCUCUCAUCACUUUCGUUUGCAAGAUCUGUGAGCUGAAGGUGUAAAGGUGUGUAAUUUUAUUACUUACCCAUUCUAUUUUAUAACUUCUUUUGUGAUAGUUCUAACUUUUUGUUGUGGUUAUUGUUUUGUUUGUUGUUAUGAUUUGUUCUGUUACUCUCCAUAUGAAUUUCAUAUUUCUCUCCAUCUCUGUUAGGUACAUGUUGUUUUGUAUGAUUUAGUUUCAGUUUAGAGUUCACAACAAGUUAUUGAUCUAGCCAAAUGAGCAUUUUAGAGUUUAAGGCCCACAAAUUUUUGGUGUUUGUUACAUGGAAGCAGCUAGAACAUCUGUAGUGUAUUAUGAAAGAGUUACAUUUCAAAAGUAGACUUUAAACUUUCUAAAUGCAGCAUCUCUAACCGAAGAUUAGAAUGUAGAAGUGACGUUCAGCCUUGGACUCUAAAAUGCGAUUCCGAGGAAUCUAGAUACGACUUAUCAUAAUAUAAUGAGGUAUUUAGACAUGUCUGACUGGAAGAUCUACAAGAGGUUGGCUGCUGUAAACUCUCAUAGUUGGAAAGGGAAGCAUGGUUUGAGCUUGUGAUGCAGCUUGUUGUUAUCAUGGUGUGUAGUGUAAACUUUUGUUGUUCCAUGUGAUCAACUAGGAGUGAUACAUGUAGGAAAAGAUAUAAACAAGUUAUAAACAAGAAGCAUUUUGCUACGAGGAAGUGAUAUUGAAUUUAUUGGUUGUAAAUAUUGAAUGUGUUGGUUGUAAUAAUUUGUAAUUGUAACUUAUAAGUAUUGAAUGUGUCACUGAAUCAUACUUGUAUCAGCUUAUAAAAUGUAUUGGUUGUAAAUAUUGUAUGUGUCUCUGAAUCAUAUUUGUAUCAGCUUUUAAAAUUUCCAUUUUUUUGGAAUAUGAAUCUGCCCAAUAACCCGAGUAAACCAUUUCAGUUAACCCGCGAUCCGCAUAAACCAAACCCGAUCAAACCGUGUUUAAUAUUGGGCGAAAAUGGGCCUUCAUAGGGAAACCGCGGUUUCGGUUGGGUGAGGCUUUUGGGCCCGAAACCGCCCAACCCGAUCCGUUGUCCAGCCCUAAUAGAAGUGAUGUUUAUUAUUGAAUAAAGAUAGAAAAAAACCAAAAAAAAAAAUUGAUGAAUUUUUUUUUUAUAAAAGGCAGUAAAAAAUUUAAAAUAUGGUUGUAUCUAAGGUGAACCACCACCUAAAUGGUUCACGUGAACCAUUAAAAAUAGUCAUUGGAUUGAAGAAUUCUACUGAACAGUAUAAUAUACCUCUGACAUAGAAUACUAUUUUCUUUCUUUAACACUCCAUCUCCCAGCCAUAGUCAUUACCGUGACUUCCAAAUCUUCUUCUUCCAAAUUAAUAAAAAGUUUAUACAACUAACAUAGAAUAACAUUUUCUUUCCUUAACACUCCAUCUCUCACAUCACCGCAAUUUCCAAAUCAUCUUCUUUCAAAUUAAAAAAUUGUAUUCUUUUAUGAUAUCUCUG